CUGUUCUGUCUCUGCUCCCCCCCCCCCAGCGCACUACAAUGAGGCCCCGGUCUCAUUGUAGUGCGCUGGGGAGGGGGAGCAGAGACAGAACAGCCAGCU